rnacentral:lncRNA from 1 species
GAAACCAUUACCUGUUUUUUACCUCGAAAGCGUAGUAGAGCUGUGUAUCAUUAUAAUAAAGAAGCAGAAAACAAUACUGUAUGCUAAUGAACACACUGAAAUUUUAUAUUGGUCUAUAUGUACCAAUAAGGCUCUUGUGUCUCGUGUACAUCCACGAAAAGGUCUGUGAGAAGAGCAUCGAUGUCAACUUAAUUUGCUACACCCUAUUGUGAUGGCUCGUGUGUAAACGAAAAUCUGAGAAAUACUUGCUGUUUGUCAAACAGGUGUUUUUUCCGCCCUGGGGGGCUGCUGUUGGCGCCAACUGGUGCAGAACAAUCGCGGUAUGAAACAAGUACUAUCUUCGAGCAACCGGAAAUUGAUUCACUAUUGCAAGACAGAGACACUUCAAAAGCAUUGGCUGUACUGUAGCAGGCAGUACAUGACAGCUAGAGCUUUGUCCAUAAGCAAGUAACAAGGACCAAGCAAAGAACCUGCAGUACCACUAAGCAAAGAUUAAAUUGAGCUGCACUAUUGCAUUGCACCCGUUGUCAGUCUCAUGGCCAUGGAGAAAAGAACAGAGCUGCUCACAUUACAGAACUGAAUGAGCAGUCGAGCUGCUAAGCAAAACAGAGAAGUACUGAACCAUUGCUACUGCUGACAGACGUGCAUAGACAAGGAUUAAACAAGUGCUCAUGCAUUCAGACAUGUAUUAGUUCAUCGAUUAACUCAUCAACUACUAAACUGAUCAGGCACACACGGUCAAAAGCAUGCAUGCAAUGAUUAGUUCCUGUAGCUUGGAAGUGACACGCCUAUUUCAAAACAACUAUCUCUGAAUAAUGGCCAAACCUUGCUUCUGCUGUCAGGGCUGGGCUGGUCGCUGCUGCUGAUCUGCUCGACCGGCUUGCUCCGCACCGCGAACUGGGCCUAGCGUGGCCUGCCUGAGCCGCUCUGGGCCGGCGUGCUUGGCUGGGCUGGCGUGCAGCUUGCCUCGCCUGGUCCGUGAGUGCCGGCCUGUGGAGCCCAGCGCAGCAGCGUCGCGCUUGGCACGCGUGCGGCACGCGUGCCUCUGCCCGAUAGAAGAACAGAGACGAACAGAGCAAGAACACGACGAACAAAGCUCAACUUUGAAUCAAAAGUCCUCUCUCGAAACUCCACGGAUCCAAAUGAAACUUGAUCCAUAGAAGCAAAACCUCAACCUCAAGGGCUAACAGAUCCAUGACAAAGAUUUUGAAAAACUCAAGUAUCCAUGGUGGAUUUAGGAGAGAACCGAAUGCCCUCCACGAAGAACACGGUCUGGGAAAACUCAAAUUCAAGCCAAAUUCGUGAGUGAUUUGAGGGUGGUCAGAUCAAAGUUGCUCACAAAGAUCUUAGCAACAAAUUCCCCCAACAAACCUUGUGGGAUUUGGAUUCAAACAUGAAGAACAAAGAGCCGGCCCAAGGAGAAAGAAUGCGUUAGGGUUCUGAGGAACCGGCUGCGUGGGUGUUUUGCUCACCCGAAGAGCACGCGCAGCCGUCCAUCGAGAUGGACGGCUGAAGGACGCCGGGUCGGAUUUAGCCCAGACGGAAGGCCGCGGUAGGCCGCUUUGGCAGCUUGGGCCCAGGCUGUGGCCUGCUAAGCCGUGGGCGAGUAUGCGACGCAAGCCGAGCCAGCGAGCGCGCGAACAGGCUGGGCCGCAACUGAGUUUUGGGCUGGGCCGUUUUCUUCGUGCCAGCCGCAAAUCAGCUGAGGAC